rnacentral:rRNA from 1 species
UGGGGAAUAUUGCACAAUGGGCGAAAGCCUGAUGCAGCGACGCCGCGUGAGGGAUGACGGCCUUCGGGUUGUAAACCUCUUUCAGUAGGGAAGAAGCGAAAGUGACGGUACCUGCAGAAGAAGCGCCGGCUAACUACGUGCCAGCAGCCGCGGUAAUUCGUAGGGCGCAAGCGUUAUCCGGAAUUAUUGGGCGUAAAGAGCUCGUAGGCGGUUUGUCGCGUCUGCCGUGAAAGUCCGGGGCUCAACUCCGGAUCUGCGGUGGGUACGGGCAGACUAGAGUGAUGUAGGGGAGACUGGAAUUCCUGGUGUAGCGGUGAAAUGCGCAGAUAUCAGGAGGAACACCGAUGGCGAAGGCAGGUCUCUGGGCAUUAACUGACGCUGAGGAGCGAAAGCAUGGGGAGCGAACAGG